rnacentral:SRP_RNA from 1 species
GCCGGGCGUGGUGGCACACACCUGUAAUCCCAGCUACUCAGGAGGCUGAGGCAGGAGAAUUGCUUGAGCCCGGGAGGCAGAGACUGCAGUGAGACGAGAUCGUGCCACUGCACUCCAGCCUGGGCAACAGAGCGAGACUCUGUCUCAA